rnacentral:rRNA from 1 species
CUACAGAGGGUGCGAGCGUUAAUCGGAAUUACUGGGCGUAAAGCGCGCGUAGGCGGUCUAUUAAGUCAGAUGUGAAAUCCCAGGGCUCAACCUUGGAACUGCAUCUGAUACUGGUAGACUAGAGUUUUGGAGAGGGAAGUAGAAUUUCAGGUGUAGCGGUGAAAUGCAUAGAGAUCUGAAGGAAUACCAGUGGCGAAGGCGACUUCCUGGCCAAAAACUGACGCUGAGGUGCGAAAGCGUGGGUAGCAAACGGGAUUAGAAACCCCGGUAGUCC